rnacentral:rRNA from 1 species
AUUGAACGCUGGCGGCAUGCUUUACACAUGCAAGUCGAACGGUAACAGGGAGCUUGCUCCGCUGACGAGUGGCGAACGGGUGAGUAAUGCGUCGGAACGUGCCGAGUAGUGGGGGAUAACGCAGCGAAAGUUGUGCUAAUACCGCAUACGUACUGAGGUAGAAAGUGGGGGACCUUCGGGCCUCACGCUAUUCGAGCGGCCGACGUCUGAUUAGCUAGUAGGUGGGGUAAAGGCUCACCGAGGCGACGAUCAGUAGCGGGUCUGAGAGGAUGGUCCGCCACACUGGGACUGAGACACGGCCCAGACUCCUACGGGAGGCAGCAGUGGGGAAUUUUGGACAAUGGGCGAAAGCCUGAUCCAGCCAUGCCGCGUGUCUGAAGAAGGCCUUCGGGUUGUAAAGGACUUUUGUCGGGGAGGAAAUCCCCAGCGUUAAUACCGCUGGGGGAUGACAGUACCUGAAGAAUAAGCACCGGCUAACUACGUGCCAGCCGCCGCGGUAAUAC